AGGAGAAAAAUCAAAUACUGCCAUUCUGGAGUAGAAUGUAGCAACAUAAUGAGUCCUAAGAACAUUCUGUUAUACUCCAGAACACUAUCUUUCUCAGCCAUCAACAGAGAAGCUGCAACAGAUGGAAAUUUUAGGCCUCUCAAUACCUAAAGCCACACAUAGAGAAUAAGUGAUCUUGGAACACUAAGUCUGAAAUGGGAUGUCUCUAUCAACUCCCCAUCCCAUUGCUCAAUGAACGUUAUGGAAGAAGAAGUGAAAAUAUGGCUUGGGUACUUCACACAGAGAUGGGCCACCUGUGCUGGGACUCAGGGCAGGCUGUGACCUCAAUACCAAGAAAGUAACACAGUUUAAAACCUUGGCUAUUCUAUGAUCUUAUGGAAGAGAAUUCAGGGCAUUCUUCAUAGCAGCUAGUAGCAGGAUUCUAAAAGUUCAUCAUGUCUGAAGACGCCAAACCCUACACUGUUGCCGUGGUCAAGAGGCACUUGCUGACGAGAACCUUGGGUGGUCUGGCCAGCAACUGACCAAUGCAGAUGUGGAUGCAUGGAGCCAACCAUCAGACUGAGGUCAGGGAACCUGGAAGAAAAUGCAAAGUAAAUAUUACAGGACAUCAUUCCCCAGAGGUCACAUAAGUAGAACCAGACAAAUGGCAUGACAUCAGACAACUUUCUACACAUCAAAGGAAACAACGGAGUGAAGACACAUCCUACAAAAGAGAGAAAAUGAAAAAGAAAACAUUGCCAUCUUGUUCAUCUGAUAUGUUUUUCCCUCAUAUUUUUGUCAUUGCAAAUAACUCGAUGAAGAAUCUGGAGCACAGUCCCUCAGCGAGGUCUCCUGUGAACUGGAAGCAGUGAGAAGUAGGAGGACAUUUGCUGAUUUGUAAUUAAAUAGAAAAUUUUUUUAAACAUUUUGGAACUUACUAAAAAUGGUGCCAAGGUGGGACUGGAUUCACAUGGAUCAGGCCAGUGAAGGUGAAUUAGACCAUAAAUUAUGAAUUUUGUGGAUCCAGUGUGGAAACUCUCAAUAACGCUAAGAGCCAAGAAGUGUCUCCCUAAGAAUGACCCUUAGCCAGAACACCAGAGAACAUUUGUGUCUCUGUCACCUCUCAGCACAAUGCAAGUGAGAAACUGGAGUCACCAGAGAACAUUUGUGUCCUCGUCACCCCUCAGCACAAUGCAAGUGAGAAACUGGAGUCAGAAUAACGAGCUGCAGCUGAGUUGUACACUUUCUCCUUCUAGCCAAAGACAAAAGAGAAGAGAACCAAAAAGCUAGCAUGCCAAUAUACAAGUGCCUGCGCCCAACCCAGAUGGAUCAGUGGAUGAAGGCUGCUGCACCUAGACCUGAUGAUCUAAAUUCAAUCUUCAGACCUAUGCAGUGCAAGAAGAGAACUGGCACUUGAAAGGUCAUCUUCUGACCUGCAGAGGCACACACAGGAGUAAAUAAAAACUGUAAAAGAAAUAAAAAGAGCAGAUGUGCAAACAAAUUAAAAGAGAAGAUUAGCAAGUA